GACGAACCGUGCGAACGUUGUUCGGAAUCACUGGGCUUAAAGGGAGCGUAGGCGGGCUAUCAAGUCUGGGGUGAAAUCCCGCGGCUCAACCGCGGAACUGCCUCAGAUACUGACGGCCUCGAGGGAGAUAGGGGCAUGCGGAACUGUAGGUGGAGCGGUGAAAUGCGUUGAUAUCUACAGGAACUCCGGUGGCGAAAGCGGCGUGCUGGACCGGUAUUGACGCUGAGGCGCGAAAGCCAGGGGAGCAAACGGG
rnacentral:rRNA from 1 species